AUAAAAAUUGAACGAGUUUAAUAAAACUUCUUUUUAUAAGUAGAACGUAUUUUCGGCUUUAUACAUUUUAUUUUCGGCUGUGUCUGGCUCUGUUAUCGAAUCGCUAUUAUAUACCACUUGAAUACUGCAGCCAAAGCACUGAAUGCUUAAUCAACUCGAGCAAAGAAAUCGAGGCGUUGGGUCUACUUAGGUCGACGUGGCAUCGAAUCCAAGGAAAUAUUACCAUAUUUGACAACUAAGGAAAUCCAGAGGCAUUUCAGUCCCCCGAGCACACCUCAUUUUAAUGGGUUGGCAGAAGCAGCUGUGAAUUCGAUGAAGUUUCAGCUUUCGCGAAUCAUUGGAGACGUCAAACUUACAUUUGCAGAGUUCUCAACGGUGCUCACAAGAAUUGAGGCUGUAUUGAAUUCGCGUCCAAUCUCACCAAUAAGUGAUAAUCCAAAUGAUUUUACCGCUUUAACUCCGGGGCACUUUUUGACAGGGGACACGCUGCUUUCGCGGCCACAGCCACCCGCUAUCCAGAACCCGGUAAAGAGACAUCAACUAAUGGAGCGUAUGGUGCAAUAUUUUUGGAAUCGAUUUCGUCAAGAAAUUCUAUCAGCCAUGCAGAUUCGAAAGAAGUGGACCGAUAAACAACCUAAUCUCAAAAUGAACGAUUUGGCGAUUAUAAAGGACGAUCACUUUCCAGUCAAUCAUUAGCCUUUAGGUCGAAUUGUGGAGCAUUCUAAACAUUCAAUUUGACUUAUUUAUAAUAAGCCAUAGUCUAGUUCAAAAUUUAAGUAAUAACAAACAAAUUUGUCAACGGUGGGAGUAUGUUGAAGUUCCACUCCCGGACGAUAGAGGUCGCUGCUAAAUAGAAAUUAGAAACAUGUAAUAGAUGUAUAUGUAUUGUAAAAUAUGACUUUAAUUUGCAUUGUGAACAGAGCACCUUUUUGGCAGCUGAGUAUUAAUAAAUUGACAGUCGCCCCUUCGUAGAGCGACCACCGGAUAGACAACACGUGUUCUUUUUCUAAUUUAACAUUGGUCUCGUAGUGAUUUUAACCUCCCAGAAUCAGAUUCACCCGACGCCAAUAGCAUCCGAAUUGAAGCCCAAAUUUGCUCAUUUUCUCCUCAUUUCUCCUUAUUAAAAAAAACAUCGUCUAAAAUGCUUCGUAAUGACUGACAUCGUCAACAAAAAAAAAAAAUUGCCAAAAAUCAACGGUAAGUCCCAGUUAAUUUAAACUUGCAGUAAAAAAGAGAUCGAAAUUUUUAUGAAAAUUACCGACAAAUCCAGCAGCGUCUGUUCCCGAGUGGGGCGGCUUCUUGAUCUGCAUCUGACCCAUAUUGACCUGGCAGUAGGUAUAAAAUGCAUCACUGCGGGGCAGCAUCGGAGGAUCUGAUGCUCUUCCUGGGUGAGGAAGAUGUACACGUGGCCCUAAUUCAAGAACCCUGGCUAGUGGGGGGGAGGGUCACAGGUCUAUCCACCAGCGGUCUCUUGCUUCUCACCCCACAGACUGGAGCGAUGCGGUCGUGACAGUGGCAAUGUCGGAGCAGAGGGGAGCACCCAACAUCAUCCUCACAUCUUCCUACAUGCCAUAUGAUGUACCCGAUCCCCCGACGGUAUCCUUCAGAAAACUCACCGUUUGGGCAGAGCAACGAAGGAUAAGUAUGUUGGCUGGCUGUGACGCUAAUGCACACCACACGGCCUGGAACAGAUCCCGUAGGCAGGGCAGUCCAGUUGAUCAAAUCUUCACUGAACAGAAAGUACCUUGGGCUAUCAGAUCCUUCCAACCCUUCAAAUCUUCGGGUCCGGAUGGAAUCUUUCCAGCCAUGCUACAACGAACAAAUGCCAUGGUAACUGCCUCGCUAACGACCAUUUUUAGGGCAAGCUUCCGCCUUAGCUAUAUUACAAAGCCAUGGAGGGAGGUAAGAGUGAUCUUCAUUCCCAAAGCAGGAAAGACAGGCCACAGUACCGCCAAAGACUUUAGACCUAUCAGCCUCUCAUCAUUUCUCCUCAAAAUAAUGGAGCCUUCUAAGUCUGCAGAUCUCGCGAUGUCUUACUCCUGAGAACUUCAGCGAGGCGCAACAUGCCUACCGAAAAGGCAGAUCGGUUGAAAAAGCCCUGCACAAGGUUGUCGGAAGUAUAGAGAAGGCAUUAAUACACAAAGAAUACGCACUGGCAGCCUUUCUGGACGUGGAAGGCGCCUUUAACAAUGUUAAUUUGGCAUCCAUACACUGCUCCAUGGCGGCCGUAGGACUGGACCCACUGACCACUCUCUGGAUCGAUAAUAUGUUGAGCACCAGAAGCAUCAAUGGCUCCCUGGGAACAGCAGAAGUAAGGAAAACGGCCACACGUGCCACCCCUCAAGGGGCGGGUGUUAUCUCCCCUUGCUGUGGAACCUCGUGCUUAACGAAUUCCUGCUCCGCGCAUCGAAAGCCGUCAAGGUCGUUGCCUAUGCGGAUGACUUAGUCAUUUUGGUCGUGAGGAAAUUCCUCUGCACGGUAACCGAGAUUCUACAAUCCGCAAUUAAAGAUCUUGCGGGGUGGGCAGGAAGAAACGGUUUAGGGGUUAACCCGUCCAAAACCGAACUUGUUCCGUUCACCAAGUAGAAAAUUUUGAAACUCCGUCCCUCAAUGGAGCAAGCCUUGAAUCGUCAAAAGAAGCGAGGUUUUUGGGGGUUAUUCUCGACUCUAAGCUUUCCUGGAAAAGAAAUACCGAAGAGCGGAGAAAAAAGGCGCUCAUUGCGCUCUACUCCGGCAAGGCUACGAUUGGGAAAGACUGGGGGCUGCGGCCGCAGAAAUUACACUGGAUGUAUACGGCGGUGUUAGACCCACUCUCACCUAUUGUGCGCGGGUAUGGUGGCAGGCGGUGGACACCAAAACCCAUCUGCUUAAUCUUCCAAAGGUGCAACGACAGGCUUGCUUAUGCAUAAAUGGGGCUACUUACUCAACGCCCCAGGCGGCGCUAGAGACACUCCUGGACAUUCCACCCAUAGACCUGUACGUUAAAAGUACCGCAGCUAAAAGCGCUUUACGACUCAGGGCGUCUAACAGGCUGUGAACAACUUGCACGGGUCACGCCACAAUCCUCGAGAGAGUAUGGGUGGAGUACAUUAGCUGUGACUAUCACGGAAACCGAUUUCAAUCGGAAUUUUGAUGUCUAUUUUCCAAACAGAAGUGACUGGGAACUUAGUAUUGCUCUUAGCGAUGAUGAAAUACCCAUUUUCAUGGACGGCUCCAAAAUGGA